UUGACAGGGCACACUCAGCGAGGGGCGAGGGGGAAGGGAGAAGGUAAAACAGGAUAUUGCAACACACCACAACACAUGAGCCCACUGCAGUUACUGGCUUUUAGAUCUCCUGCUACACUACUGCACACAAGAGGGAGACACAGGGUAUGUCCAGACAAUUGAUACCAAACAGCCUUUGGUAUCCAUUUGCACAGGGCCGGCCCCUUUUCUCCUUUCAUCACUCAUCCUGUCAUUUGUUCCUAAACCUAUUCCUCUGCAAAUGGUUCUGAGAGCCCCCCCCCCCCCCAUCAUUUCUCAUCUUUGGUUUCUCCACCAAAGAUUGAAGCCUAAAUCUCAUGUUAUCCCCUAAUGCUCUUCCCUUGCAUCUCAUAAUGCAUCCCAUAUACAUAGGGAAUAGUCUCCAGUCCUAAAAGUGUUCCUGUUGAUUCCUUGUUAUGGGUUUUAUGCCUGGACACAUGCACUUGUGUCCUCUAGAACCACCUGCCCCUGUGCCUCUGUGCUCUUCUGGGCUUGUGGAGAUGGGUGUUUGAUGGCCCUUUGGCCCUCCACGAUGGGUCUGGGAGGAGCUGAGGGAGGAUAUUACUUGGCUUGCCUCACCUGCCAUUGUCCCUGUGCUCCUUUGUGAGCUUGUAGAUAAGCUUUUUACCAUGCAACCUAAUAUUUUCUUUCUUUCAGGAAGAAAAUAGAAGGAAAAUAGCUGGCAGCCACUGUUCCAGAUGUCAGAAGACUAAAUGUCUAAUUUAAUUUGAGCUAAUUACGAUGUCAGAAACUACCUACCAAAAUAUAGCAAGAGCAUUAAAAAAAUCUCUUGUGAAGUCUUCAUGUUGAAUGAAUGUAUAGAUACCAAAAGCAAAGUGUGAUUAUUUAGAUGGCACACGAAGCAAUCUUCAGCAGCUCAAAAAUGAGUAUUUCAGAGCUAUUCUGUGUUUUGGAACCUUGAAGAAUAAUGGUCUUUUUGUGUCAAGUAAAAACCAGAUUUUCCAUUUCCCAGGUUCAGAUCCUUUGUAUCAGACAGCUAGAUCUGAAGUAUCUUUGUACAAGGUUCUGUACUUUGAUCCACACUAAUGGAGAAGGUGAUUGAAGGAGUCAUCAUGAUAAGUUAAUCAGUCUCUUUCAUUUAUUUAUACUUGUGCUUUGGCUAAAAUUUUAGAAGGAGCCACUAUUAGUUUCUUAUGGGAUUGCCAGUAAGGCACUGGUCAAGUACUGGUGCUUGGGUAAUGUACUCACAUACUUAAAUGUACUUCUGAGCAGUGUAUUUACAUGCAGCUGAAACAAGAAACUAAUAACUUCUUGCUUCAAAAAAGAGCAAGAGAUGAUCUCAAGUGUGUUAUCUGGGGCCUCACAGGAACCUUUGGGAGAAGCACUGUCCUCCUCUUGGACAGCAGCCAAGUCCCACAGAUGCAUAUGAGAUAUAGAAUAUUCAGCAUUUUCACUGGAGAGGCUUGGAAAAUCAGUGAACAAAGGCAAGUGAUGCUGAGAAGGGCAAAAUAAUGUUAUAUGGGGUGAAAAAAUCCUCUUACCAAUGCACAAUGAAAUCAUGAAGACUGUUUUUCUAGACACACUGGGAACACUUCUCUGUGAAAACAGUCAAAAGAGCAAAAAAAUGACUGCAUAUAGAAAACGAGGCAGAAGACAACAUUGCUUCAACUUGUACAUUCUGUGUCCUGUGUCCUGCAUGCUACAAGAGAUCAAACCUGCCUCAAAAAUCAUAUAGUAGAAUAGAAAACAAUCAGUAAAACAGAGGGUGUCUUCAGAGUGUGUCUGAAGCCUCUUUUGGACUCAAGGAAUCUCAUAUUCCAGCUGCCAAGAGAGCUGAGAUGGUGCUUGAGGCUUCCUCUUUGUACCACGCAAGGACAACUCGACACCACGGCAAGGGAAGGCACAUCCAGAGAACAACAAUUACUACAGGAAACAACAUCUCUAAAUGCAAUUCUGCUUGGUCUGAUUCCACUGGAUCUGAACAUCCCAAGGAAAGGAAGCAUUUCUGAUGAUUUUCUUCUCUUGAGUUGUACUGAUGAAUACUGAUUCCCCAGCCCAUCCUGCCCUGCUUCUGCAUUAGGUAGAGAGGAAUUAAGACACUUGACUAUUCUGACAAUUUUCCAGACAUUACUCCUCUAUUAUAUGUAAAGUUUCAGCCAAAAAAAUGGAUGCUGUAUGGUACAAUAAUGAUUGCAUUCAAAGAAAGCAUCACCUUAGGUUUUGCAGGGUGGGCAUUCAACUAUGAGGUUCUGGAGCUGGGAAAUUCCAGAGCCCAGUUUCUGUUAGUCUGGAUUAUUAAGCAGAUCUCUACACAUACACAAGAAUGAAAUAUUAAAAAAAAUACAAUUAGUCGUUGUGCAAUUUCCCAGAACUGGAGACUCCAGGGUAUUGUAAGGAAAGAAGGCUCACCCAUGCUGUUCUGUAUUCUUACUCAGCUAGACACAAUUAGAGGACAUUACCUUUCAUUUAUGAAGGAAGGAUUUUAUCUCUUCUGUUUUUAAUUAAAUCACAGCCCUUCUGACUAGUUCAUAAAUUGGCACUACUGUAAGUUAGCUUCCACAGAAAGAAGUUGUAUGUCAACACCCUGUAGGAUACUCCUGCCCAGCUAGUCUUUAAAAUUGAAGUUAUUUAUUUCAAUUAAAUAAAGUUACUAGUACUGGGAGUUUUACAUUUUGCUGUAGGAACAGUGAAUUGAUUUCUGCCUGAAUGACAAGUUUCAGUCACACUUCAGUCACAGUUCACAAAAUAUUCUGAGUGGUUUGUCAGCAGAUAUAAUUGAGUUCCUUUAAUCAGUCUUAGGGUAAGAUCCUAAAGGGAUUCCACCACGCUUUUUCCAAGCUGCAUGGUUACUAGUUCAUUUAAUAGAAGGAGGUUCUUCACAUUCUUUCAGCUUCCUUUACAUAUGUGAUUUUGGCCUGGGUAAUAUAUGUGGGUUAAAUCCUUGUAUUGGCUGGAGACAAUACUCCUGUGUAUAUGAAUUCAGACCUGAUAUUAAAAAGACAGUAGAAAGAGUGAUGCAGUGUUUGCCCUGGUGUUUAAUGAAGCAGCUGUUCCUAAGCAGAGGAGCAAUACUGGGGUUUAUAUAGCUGCAGAUAGUUCUGUGGGAAAAAAAAAGAAAAAAAAAGUGGAGAUGGGGUAGGAUUUAAUGCUUUUAAAGUAAUCCUAAGUGUUCUUUUCAGUUGUUUGAAAGGUUGAAGUUUUUGAAGCUACUUUUUUCAAAUCAAAGACUUGUGUCCUUCCCUUUCUAAAUAUCUUAUGCAUUUCUAAAAAAUUACUUAUGAAACUGAAAAUUUUGGGAAAGGAGUAACUCAAAGAAGUACUGAUACUGUCAAGAAAAAUUAUAUCUUCUCUAAAAGAUUCCCUGAAUGUGUCAGCAGUUCUUCAUUUGAGGGACCUGCAUGUAUCAACAGGAAUGCUUCCUAAGUCCCAAGGAAAGCUUUCAGGGCUAGAAGUCUCAUUUAGCUCAAAAUUUCAUAUUUUCAGACCCACUGUAUUGGUAAAGAAGUACAGUUGUUCAGUACUGCUGUGGAGUUCAUGUUGGCGUGUAUUUAUUUCCUUUAAUAUCCGAAAUUACUGCAAUUUUACUUUCAUGUACUGAAUAAAAGGCUGCUGGAGGCAGUGGAGGAUAUACCACUCCCUUUGACUGAGGGAUCAUGGGCUCCAUUAGUGACCAAACAUCACUAUUUGGGAAGGAUGUUAGACCCCUGGCUGCCAGUGGACAGUGAUAUUACAUCUGUAAAUCAGUCAGCUCUCUGUCCAGAAAGCUCUGGGCGUUCAGGGGUGAAAGCAGCCGUAGCUGCCAGUCAGCUGCUCUUGGGCUUCAGGUUACACGCCACGAGGGGCUGGCAGGAUUCUGUGGGACUGAAGGAGUUCAGGAGCUGGUGCACAGGGCCAGGCAGCCCCACUCUGGGCUGGGAAGGGUUGGUGGGAUGCUGGCAGGGGCAGGCAGGGACUGAGGGCGCUGCCACAGCAGCACAUCCUGGGGCAGCAGGGUGCCCGAGAUGGCUCCUGCUGCUCUUGGGGAAGAGGCACAGGCAGCUCCCUUUGCUCGAGAGAGUCACGAGGAUUUGGAAAAGGACUUGGCAAGCAGCCCAGGAAUAAGGAAGGUAGAGAAAAAUGCUUUUCCCUUCAUUUAGUCAGCAGCUGGCAGAGGCAGGGUACAGGGCUUCUCUGAAGGACAGCUGAUGUUUAGUACAAACAAGCCUUGUGUUUGAGUGUCUGGACACUUCAAAAUGUUAUGAUCAAAAGAAACAAUAGACAGAUAAGUACUUUUAUGUUGCUUGACCUCGAUGAGCAGCCUAACAGCUCACUUUCCAAUCCUCACUGCAUGUAAGAUAUUAAAUGAAUUUCAUUUUUCCUUGAAAUGCUCAGAUUCAGUGUGAGGCAAUCUCUCCUCAUACCGCUGAGACCUCCAACCCCAGGAAAAUAAUUUUUGUUCUGUUCUCUGUGUGUGGCUGCUCUUCGCCUUCCCAAAAGGGGCCCAACUCCCUGCUGGCCCCAGAGGCUGCCGCAACUGUAUUUUGCAGUGCUCUUCCCUUGCCCCAAGGCCACGUCAGCCACCACAGCACCAUCUCAUGGGCCUGCCCCACGCCAUGGGGCCCUCACACCCCAUAGUGCUUUGCUGCCCAACAGGGACUGUCUUCAAGGCAUGGAAACAGCAGAAACACUGGGCUGGUUUUGACCUGCUAAGUGUCCCUGAGUAACUCUGUGCCUUAGAUCUCCUCUGUUAAGGAAGCCAAUGAUACCAAUCUUCUUUUGGUAAAAUAAGCAUUAUUAUCAUCCUCUACUUUAAAGAACAUGUUUGUGUCAGUCCUAGGAGAGCUGUUUUCCAAAGGAGCAUGAAUUCAUCAGAGUACUCACAUGAUUUGGCCCUUAGUGUUUCAGAAACAAAACUGAUGAGUUGCAGCCUCCCACCCCACCCACAGUUCCAGAAAAUGUGAUAUAAGAUGACAGCAGAGAUUUUCAAUCAGAUGAUGUUGUUUUCUGGCCUGUUGUAGGCCAGAUCUAAGAGUUCAGAACUCACAUCCCUUUUCUCAGUACCUCAAAGCAAGUUUCUAUUCUGUGAGCUACCUUUUUCUAUGUUUCAGGAUACAGUGCAAAAUGAUGCUGAGUGAUUUACCUGCAAUCUGACGGAGAAACAGAAAAAUACAGGAGAGAUCAGAACCCAAACCUUAGCAGAAAUAUCCAUCUUUAAUGCAGAAAGUGAUAGAAAGUUCAGUCUGGCUUCAAUACCAGGCAGAGCAGUCCAGAAGUCCCCUAGCUUGCAACUCCAUACCAAUGCCCCUGAUCUUCAGGUGUGGGUGCCUCUUGCAUCUUAGAACUCCCAGGGUUUGUGCAUGCUCUCCUCUACCUUUAUGGAUGCUACAAAACUUUCUUAGCUCUGUUUUCUUUGUCAGAGGCUCUCAAAUCAUCUCUAAAGUAUCCCAGGAGCCUGAUUUUGAGGAAUGUCAAAGAUGGAGGGAUAAAAUGUGUUGCCAUUAAGAGUUACAUUUUAAACUCUAAAGGUCAAAUCAGCUAUAACAGAAGUAUUUUCAUGUGUAUGUGUCAACAUUAGGCAACAGAAUGAAAUAAUAAGUGCAUGUGUGCAGAGCGCCAGUAAAUAACUCCACACUUACCAGUACAUUUGAUUAGUUUUAACACUCUUUUUUACCUUGCAUGUUUCAGACAGGAGACUCGUAACUACUCCUGAUCUGGGCUGACAUCCACUUGCCUUUUGGCAAACUCCAAAAGUAUCAGGUCCCACUCUUUUCUUGUAUUCCAGACACAGACCUGGACUCUGAAGUCAGGUCUAACUCUGAGUUAGGCAAAUGCUCAUCAUUUCCAGCAGCUGGUUCAUUCUCAACUCAGCCAGAGAAGAGUCCUGACUCCCUUCUUCUUCCUGACAAAGCUCUUAUCUGUCCUCUCUAGCUUUGGAAAUGCUGCUUUCCUUUUGGUGUUGAGCUGCUGCAGUUUUUGCUUGGUCUAGACAGUAAGUAAGGAAAAUUCACUGGGACUUCUCUGCUAGGCUGAACCAUGAAUCUGCUGUGAAUCAUGAAUCUGCUGAGAGUACUCCUAUUGAACAGAGUAAUCUAAAAAAGGAAGCCUUUUAAUCCAUUGAUCCUUGCUUUUCUUCUAUAUAUGUUUUUAACCAUCAUGUUGUACCCAGCAAUACAAAUACAAUUGAUAUGGUAGAAGAAAAUCCAUGCAACCCAAAGCAUGAAGCUGUAUCUGUGUUACUCAAAUUGUUAUCUACUUUUAUUCAUUUAGAAUAAGACUAAUAGAGCUAAAAAUGAACAGUAUCUAUAAAUAUUUACUCCAUUCAUUGGCUUACAUAUGUGUUUUAAAAUUACUGUUAAACAUACAGGCUGAAUGUGUUAAUUGAGACACACAGUGAAAAUCUUCAUGGAGACUUUGGGAGAAAAGGUGGGGAAAGAGUAAAGUAAUUCCUUGUUCCUCAGUGUUGUGUGGCAUCACUCACAAGUAAAAAGGAGGAAAACUUUCUUCCAGACAUGAGGGAUUCUGCUUUGAGAUGAUUUGGAAAGGUUCUCAGCCUUUGUCCUGUGCUCUUCAUGUGCAAGUGGAUGUGAUGUGGAAAGAAGGUCUGUGGCAUAUGCAAGAGCCAUCAUGACAAAAUCAUCCCAUCCUAACUCCAUAGGGGUGGGCAAGUUUUCAAUGAACCUAAGAGAAAGUGGGGCACUACAUAGCUGCUGUUGAAUUUAGUUAGGGAGACCAUUCUUGUUAAAUGUAAUCUUAAUGAUGCCAUUGUAAUUUUAUCCUUUGUGACUUUAUUUAAUGACUGAAACCCCAUGUUUCUUAAUUAUGUUUCAAUCAAUAAUCAUGCCAAGAAAUAAACCUGGCUAGUUCUCUGACAUAUAGCAAAGCAUUCCUUACUCUGGCUGAUUACAAAUCUGAAAACUGUGGCAGUGGGCACCUUUAAAAAUUGCUGAGUUACACAGUACAUUAUGUUUCUCUUAUCUAAAGAGCAGUAGGAUAAAUCCCUCUAGAGGUUCUUUGGCAAUUUGUCACAAGAUUUAGGAGAGGAAACAAAUUUUUCUUGGGACCAGUGAUGUCAAGUGAAAUUCUAUGUCCAGCAGUAAAAAGCUAGUUGUAGGUAUGACUUGUGAGCUCCUUAAUGGCUUUUAACUGAGACCAGACUUGACAGUAGCUGUAAGUUUGGGGCAGUGGUGCAUUUGGGGUUAACUGUACACACAGACUCUCUCUCUCUCACCCCUGAGAAUACUCUAAAUUAUCAUGUUGGUCUCUGUAUGUAUUCUUUCUCUUCUACACUUUAUUUUAUUUAUUAUGACUGCAAAAUCCUUUGACAUGUCCAGUCCUCUUCUGUACAUUGUCAUAGAGAUCAUCCCAGCUGAAGACCAAAUUUCAAGUGGAGAUUUUAAGGGCCAAAAUAGUAUAAGCUCAAAGGGCCAUCAUCUGAGAUGUUGAUCUGGUGUCCCAGUUUUCCAGGGAGUAGUGAUGUCACAGUGUUGAGCCAGAAUCAUACCUAGAUCCCCCUAACUGCACCACUUGCAUGGCCACAUGUCUGUGUAACCUGGGUGCACACUGUGUGUUCUUGGAAAGAGCAGAACUCAUGAACCUGGAGCCACAGAAAGAAGUCAAGAGGACCUCACUUUUUCAUUGACAGAAGAGCAGUGCUAGUAACAAUUUGGGCAGAUUAUGAGGGUUAAAAGAAAUAAAAAAAGAAGAUAUAUUCUAUCUUUUGGCAAAGAGGAAAGAAUAAAUGACAGUUUAAAAUCAUUUAGGAUGUCAUCUGAAAAUAAUUACUUGGACAACAACAUAUUGCAGCCAGACUGCAGACACACACAUAAACCAAAAAGGAAAUAUUUGUUAGUGAAUAAAACAUCUUAUUUUGGUGCUACCAACUGAAAGAACUCAGAUUUUUCCAGCUACUGUAUCUCACUCAAAAACUACUAUAGAAGAUCUAUGAAAGAAAAAAAUCUGUACUGAAGAGUUCAUGUUUUAGAAGAGCAUGAUACAGAGAGGAAAGAGUAACUUUUGCCUGAAUGUACCUCUGCCCGUGAGUCAAACCCUGAGUAGGUGCAAGCAACAGGUGGCUCACACAAUUUUGUUGUUUUUUUUUUUUUUUUAGUGUCAGUACCUACAGUUUACUUUUUUUUCUGCUGUCUCUUUGGUUGCAUUUAGCUUUAGCCAUUCCAUCUUUAUGCAGUCCUUAAAUUAAAUCUUUCCUUCAAACUUGUUCUAAACCAUACCUUUUAAUAAAUAACUGUCUCAUCUGAACUCUUGCUCUUCAUAUAUUCUUUCCACCUAAUAAUAUUAUUUUUGCUUUUUGUCUCAUGUUUGCAUUCACCAUUUGGUUUUGGGAUUGUCACCUAGAGAAUCUGCUGUUCCCACUGAGUCAGUGUGAGGCUUGAUUUAUAUCACUGGAAAGGUAAUGUGUUUAAACCAUGGGAAAUUCUGAAAACUGGUAGCUGGUGGAGAGGAGUGGAAUUCUAAUGACUGAAAUGAAUUUGUGCUAAUGAUCAUAGCUGGAAAAUUGUAAGAAUAUGUGUAGUUUGGGUUUGGGGUUAUUUUGUUGGAGUUUUUUGAGGUCAGCAAAUUGUACUAUGCCUGAUCUACUGAAGCAUUCCUAUCAUCCAUUAAUCAUCCUCAUUACAGGCUUUGGCUUGACCAGUCUCAAAUCAAGUGGCUUGUUGUGGCUUCCGCUUUCAGAUGGAAAAGGUGGCUCCAUACUUCAGCCUGUCAAAAAGACCCAGGAAGCAAGCUGGGCCUUGAAGUUUGGCUGCCAACAAUCUGGCUGCAGUUACCAAUGGAUAACUUAAAUUGAUCUUUUUAGGUGGAGGGGAGGGACAAGAAUCUGUGGGAUGGCUGAUUCCAUGAAAGUGGCCCUUAAAUGUGGUAAUGCAGUAAAUGGGAGAGGAUAGAUCAGUCACAGAGCCUUGAAAGCACUGUGAGCAGAUUAUGUUUGUUGUUACAGAAUACAAGGAGAAGAAUGGUACAGUCAAAACAAUGAGCUAAGAAAACUGACUUUGCUGCUGACAGGCUAGAAGCAAGGCAAGAUGGUAUUUGUCAAAGGCAGGGAAAUGAAUAUUGUGGGAAGCAAGUAAUGAGAGAGAGAGUGAUGUGGUUGUGAGCUUCUGCUGUGAAGAAGUGUUAUGCAGUGAGAAUUGAAAGGUAGACUUGGAUAAGGAGGUCACAUCUAAGAUUAUUCACAAUCAUAAGUCUUUGUGGUAUUUUCCAGUGGUAAGGCUAAAGGUAAUGGAAAGAAAGACAGGAUUUGGCUUUGAACAUUUUGCACUUAAUCUUAAAGUCUUAAGUCAGAGCACUAAGAGGAAAUGUCAGUGCAGCAGACUAUUAGUUUAGCUUAAGUUGAGACAUGUCAAUGGAUGGGUAAUAAAUCUGUUGGCCACUGACCUAAAAAUGAUAGAUGAUUUUUUAUUUACUAGUAUGGCUUAUUUAUGGGCAAAAAGCAUAGAGGGAAUAAGGCUGCAAAGUUUCUGCUGAGUGCUGGGUCAUGGAGAAGAUGAAUAAGCACCUUCAGAACUCUGCUACAGGAGCAAUUGCAGAGGGAGAAGGUUAACUGUGUGAAGAUUAAGUUACAGACAUCAAGUGAGAAUAUUCUGCUGCUAAGCAGAAGACAGUAAUAGGGUGGGUUAAACACCAGGUUUGCCAUUUGAUCAAGAAAAUGAUUAGAGGUUGUCUCAAAAGGGUUUUGAAAGGAAUACAAAAGGCACAAAUUAAUUUGUAUGGAAGAGCAAUCUCAUCUAGAUAUUGUAGACAGCACUGAAAGAUAAUGGUGCACUAAUGAUGAAAGUGUUGGAGUAAAGAGUGAGUUUCCCUAAAAUGAAAGAGAUAAAAGCAUUGGAGACAACAGCACAUUUUUAUUCUGUCCUGUCUCUGUUGCACAUUGUUUGGCAAAGGUCUCUUGCCUUAUGCAUAUGUGUCUCUUAAAUAGAGAUCUUAAAUACUGCUCUAAUAUACCUGAUAGUGAGGCUACCAAAAAUCUGUUUCAUACCUCAAGAAAGUGUCUACCUUAUAUCCAUAUGCGCUGUCAUCUGCACAGAGUAGCUUCAAAAUAAACAUUUUUACAUAAAUCUUUAAUCUCUCAAGUUCCAUUGUAUCAUUUCAUCAGUGACAUCUUCUAGAUGUGGCCUCAAUGAUGGGUGAUGAAUGUAGGGCCAUAGUGUCAACAGCAUGGGCCUUCAGACAGCAGCAGAGCUGUGUCACAAUACUGCUGUGGUUUGGGUAUCUGCAGUGACAGCCUUGUGCCCUGUUCUGCACAGACAGAACUUUUUACAAUCACUGCCACUCUCCUACACUGACAGAGAUGGGUCAGCAGUACCUGCAGGGCCUCUCUGCUCCACGAGGCUGCCAGCAAAGGCUGUUGUUCCCCUUUGCUCUCGGAUAGCGCGCUCACCCCUCCCCUGCAGAGAGCAGAGGGAUUACAGAGGAGCAGAGCACAGAAAGGGACCUUCUUGUGCGGGGGCAGAGAGUCCUCUGGGAAUGGGAAAAGCAGACUCAGCCCUUGUGCUCCUCAGCUCCAGUGUAGGGUCAAAGGCCUGUGGAAACAGCGGUCCUUCCUCCCUCCCCAGCGGCAUCAGAUUGGCAGGGAAGCUGUCUGAAAUCCUAUUGAUCGCUUGUUGGGAAGGUUCAAUAGUGUCAGGAAUGCUGCAAUACCUUUUCUUCUUUUUGAAUUGAAGUCACGAAAGAAUGAAAUGCUUUUCUGCUCUGAGAGGUGUCCAAGCUCAGUGAUUCUCAGUGAUGGGUUUUUGGUGGCUUUUUUUUUUUUGAGUGGAGACAAAACCAUUUCUCUGGUUUGUGUUUACUGAGUUUAAAUGUAUUGUCACAAAACAAAUAUUGUUUUGUGAAACCCUUUGAAAUUAUCACCCCAGCUACAGAGAUUCACAGCUUCAUGUCUCAUCAGCACUAGCCUGUGCAAAGAGGUAGUAGUGUUCCCCCUGCAGCCUCUGCCUGCCAAGGAGGUGAACACAUUGUUGUGCUUGCUCUUUGGGGUGGAUUUGCAUUGCCUGCCAGCUGCGCCUGCUGGGGUGGGCAGCACAGAUCUGCAACAUGAUCAUCUGAGCCACAGCAUCUGUGAUGGGGGCUCAGGAGAUGAAAAGGGCAUCACAUGGUGCCUCUUCCUGCCCAGUCCCUGUGGAGGACUGCAACCUAGACUGCUGCUUUGUCUGACUGCUAAUGGGGAUGAGAGCUGGGUUACUCACACACCUUCUUCACCACUAUUUCCAAAAACAAUCUGGCCCUGUCUGACAUCCAAAUAUGCUGCAAGUGCGUAAGGAGGAGCAGCCAAGUGAAUUGGAAACUGGAUGUCAGCUCCAUAUGAUACAUGACCCAACCACAAAGAACAACUGGCAUCCUAAAUCAAUGUUACCCAUUUAAUAACCAAUUUCAUGCAUAGAAUCAUGUCUAUAGAGAUAUAAAUGGCCAAAUCCUGUUUCUGAUUUGAAGGAAUAAGAGCAUGUGUGUUUGCAGUGUAACAAAGUUUAUAGCAUAAGAUGGUAAUAUUUAAAACAUCCCUAAGAAAGACAGUAGAGCUAUAAACCAGAUUUCAAGGGAUUAAAACACUGGUUUUGAGGCUUUUCACUCCAAAUAUUCCACAAGUACAGACUUUGAAUUACUUGGUUGUCCAAUCCUAUGUAUGCUUCUGGUCCUCAGGUCCUGUGUUUCAGGAUAUAGACAUAAGACUUUUCAGAGUUUUUUAUUUACUUGAUUUUUUUUUUAAACUGAUUUUCACUUAAGCUGUGGGUGAUUGUAAAAAAGCAAUGUCUUAUGUCAGAGUACUCAGUGAGGCAUCUCUCCUGGGGGUCUUUUUGAAGCACUGUAGGAAGUACUGCCCUCAGGAAAAGUUGACUUCCCUAAAGUCAAGAUGCCAGAACAGACAAUGUCAGUGCCUAUUUCAGCAGAAAGUCAUCUGGGUCAGCUUAAAUCACCACGGUAGGUUAUUCUUAAACCAUUUCUCUAGCAGGACACCUGCUCAGGUCCCAGGGGUACAUGUUUAGGUUCACUUUUAAUUUAAAUUAUUUUGAAGGAGAGCUAAUCAAAAUAUGAAAAUAUUUGAUGGUGAUUAAAUUUAGAAUUCACAGAUAAUUAGCUGGAGGGGAUUAAAAAAAGCUAUCCGCAGAUGCUGAAUUCAGCAUGUGUCAGUAGAGCUCCAAAAGCACAUCCUUCCUAUCAUCUUCAGAGCUGCUUUUCUGGGGUUGUCAUGCAGUGUUUUGGGAAGACACUGCCUGGGCACAAAGUACAGCAAGUAAAGAUAAGACAGAACAUCAGGGCCCUCCUUAGAGAUAUCUCUUAUUCCUCUGACCUUGUGCAGCCAGCUUUACAGAGCUAUUCAACUUUUCAGAAAUCCAUUCCCAGCUAGAAAAGAGCAGUUCCUACUGGGAGAUUUGCUGUGCUCCAAGAAACUUUUGUCAAGUUUCUGAAUAGCGGGGAAGUUCCUAAUUGCUUUUAACCAUCUCUGUCCUCCCCCCUGCUUUGUUACCUUUUAGCUGCUUUUGACUCCCAAGACAUUCUGGAGCAUCUCUCAGCUCUCAGAGGAGCAUUGAAGCUGAUACAAAGAUCUCCACAGACAGCACUAUUUGCCGUGCACAUGCUUUAUUGAUCUCAGCCCUAAGAACCAUAUUCUCAAGCUCUGCCUCCUGGUAUGUUAUCUCUUAGCUAUUGAUAUAACUACAAAUAAAGAGGAUUCCUGACACAGUUUAUGUUCUUGCCCCCACUAUAAAUGGUUGCAUUUUUAUUUAGAUGGGAUGGAGUUCUGGCCCAUACUUGAGUUAGCAAGCAGCACUGCAGUGGCUGAGAUGUUAUUCUCAUGGACUCUGCAACAAUCUCUGUGACUGAUGUCUAUGUUGUGGAGCCAGCCAGCCCCACUUUGAAGCUGCUGAGCCUUUGCACUGCUUUGCUCUUCCCUCUGCAAGCUGCUUCUUAUCUCUCUGGUAGAAGGGAUUGGCAGCAUUAGCCUCACCAGAACAAAAGUAAUACAAAAGACUUUUUAAAUAGGACACAUCCACACACAGACUAAGGUGGCAUUUGAGAAACUGAUAUAUCAAUAAAUUAUCAAAAUAAGCCUGAUUGCCCUGACUGAGUCCAAACAAAAAGGGGUUAAUACUCUUUUAAGAUGAAGGCAAAGUCUCCUUGUUUGUAUGGGCAGAGGGACAGGGGGACAAUAACGACCUUGUCUGCAGAUUUAGCACUGCUGCUGCUGCUGGAAGAUUGACUGCAGUUUGAAAGCACGAUGCAGAACUGAAGAAAAUUCAAACAAGAGCUGCAUAAAGGGUUUAAUAUCUGAAAAAGCAGCCUUUUUAAUGAGAAACUAGGGAUGCCAAUACAUUUUCAAUCACCAGCUCAAGGCUCAUUAGUGGAGUAGGCAGAUGUUAAUUUUGACAUCCUAAGGCUGAGCGACUGGAGCCUGGUUUCUUCCACUGUGGAAGUCAGAUGGAGCCUGAGCCAUGGUAGCAAGGCAGCUCUGGGGUUUGCUGCUCCUGCUGCUGGCAGACAGGAAGAAUGGGGCUGGUGGCUGCUGCUCAGGAAGUAGGCUUUUUCUCACACCAACAGUAUUUUCUAUACCACAAACUAUCUUUUCUCAGUAGAGGCAUAAAUCUGGAGGUUUUACAUCGUGCUAGACAUGCAAAUGCUAAGGUCUGUGGUACUGCUGUCUUUUUAGUGACCUUUUCUGUACUGUCCUCCAAAACAGCCUAAUCUCUCUGAGCCUAAGGGGACAUCCCUGUGACUUCCAAGGGGACCAGAGUGGUUCAUACAUCUCCCAAAACAGACUUGGAACAUGAUCAGGGCAUAUCCAGCAGAGCAGGCCUUCAGCAUACCCUGAGAAGUGGGCUAGUCGCAUGGUAUAUACUUUUAUUUUCACUCCCUUUGGACAAAGUUUUUUCUCUUAUAAGAAAUUUAUCUGGAGCCCUGAUAAAUCUUAUCCUCCUGAAAUUUAUACUUUUGCUUCAUUAUUGAAGAAACCAUCUGAUCAUUCUUCUCAAUUAAAAUAAGUAUUUUUACUUCAGCUCCUUGGAGAUGCAAAUGUCUCUUGCUAGAACAAAGUCCUUGACUAGCUAAUUAAUAACUUCUAUGAGCUGAGAAAGUUCUCUCCAUUCCUCCUCCCUUUUUGACUCUAACAUGGUGAAAUUAUUGUAAACUUACUUUAAAUUCUCUAACAUUAGGUAUAUGUCAAAAAUUUCCAGUACAAAUAUCUAACCAUGAUAAAUGGUUCUUGACUGAAAGCAGACACAAUGGUGAUUAAUCACUUUGGGGUGUUGUGAUCCCAACCAGCUUCUUACUAACCAUGUGUGGCAGUCUCUCAUUACAGGUACUUCCAAGAAGGAUAGAGAGUGGUGAUGAGCCUCAGAGGUUUUGUUAUUCCAGUGACUCUGUGAGGGCAGGUAACUAGCUAUUGUGACGCCAUAAACAGAGUGGGAAAUUGAGAAAUAAGUUUAUAUCAUUAUGUAAGCCAUAACCAGUCUCAGCAACCAACAUUGUAACAUCUUGCUGAGCUUAGUUAGCUGAGACAGUUUCAGGAAAGCAUAGAAGCAGAUAGUCCUCUCUUUUUGGUAUAAACUGUGUACUUUAUGUCAUGUUUUAUUCUUGUCUCAUAUGGAGAUGUUUUUCAAAAUUAGCAAGCAUGCAAUUCAGUAAAUGUGUUGCUGGAACUAUUGCAGUGAGUACUGCUUAUUGUUAAUAGAGUUGCUUGGGGGUUUUUGUGCUGGUAGUUUUGUGACAUUGUUAAAAGCUUUGUACCAUCGUCUAUGUGUUGUUCUAUUGUCAUACCAAAGUUCAGAUUAUUAAAAGAGUAUUAAGAUUCUGGGUUUUUUCCUCCAGAUUUUUUUUCUAAUGUCAGUGGAAAAAAUACAUAUUUUCUGAACAAACUGCACCCCAGCACAUCACUCUUCAGACAUGCUGGUUUUCGAUAAAAAACCUCAGAUUUCUCUGGAUCUUUCCUGAGCUGAAGUUCCCGAGAUUGUUUCUUUAUAGUCUUCCCAACGACUGCAAUUGCAACUGCUGCGCAGAUAUUCCAGGGACAGAAAAAUGAACCUGACUACAGAAAACAGACUAGGACUCCUAGAGAACAGCAGACAUCUGGCUCUAAGAGACAUGCAGAAGGGGAAGAAUGUCUGGUGGCACUCUUGUGUUGAACACUUGUGGAAGAAAUCAGCACUCAGGCUCCUGGACAGCCUCCACCCAUUGAGUCCAAGAGGUUGGUGGAAGCCAAUCUGCUGCAUCCAAAGCAGAACCUGCUAUAAUCAGCUUUAUAGACAGAGUCAAUCCUUAUGCCUACUUUUUGAUGCCUGUUUUUCAGAUUUUUAGUGGUGAUCCAAACCCCCGUAAUAAAUUCUUCGCCAUCUGAGAAUGAUAGAAUAUUUUCUGUCAAGAACAGUGAGAAACAUCUUCUGAAGAUCAAUAUUAAAAACUGGCCCCAAAUCCCUGAAAGGGUCGGACCAUCCAGUAAUCUGAAAAGAUCUCUGAUGUUAAUUUAUAAUGAAUGCUAGAACAUCAGAUAAAUCUCAAUUAUUCAAGAGGUAUUAAUAUUGUACAAGAAAGAUUAAAGAGACAACAACAAUAUUUACAGGUUAGCAGUUUGCAAGUGGUAUCAGAAUAAUGAUGGAAAAGAAGCAGGAUCAAGAAAUUGAUAGAAAAAUGAACGGCAUAUGUUCAUGUAUGAAAAAGACACAUUAAUAACCAGGCCAUUCUUGUAAAUGAAAAGAGGGUUAUACCAGAUUAAUCCUAGGUUCACAGUGUGUUCACUGUGAGAAGAAGCUGACUGAACUUUUUUUUAAUUUACUGGCAUAAUCUGGUAUGAUUUGGGAGUCGUUCCUGUGACAUCAAGAGACUGAGGAGAUUCAGCAGGGUAAAGCCACAUCAAGACUGAGAUCAAAUAUAGACUGAGCAGAUCAGACUUGCAGAUUGGCAUUUGGAGCAUUCCUGUGUCUCAUGAUGAUCCUUAGCAUGGAGGGAAAGGGAGAUUACUGGCCUGACAAACAAGUGACUCAGGGUGACUGAGGGAUUUGCUGUACCUUCAACAGCUUUUGGAGAGGAAACCAUCUGUAAAGCUCAGUCUAUAGCACUUGAGAAAGGAAUCACCUUCCAUUCUAGAAUACUGGAAAGUCACCAGUCCUUGUACCAAAUGAAAUGCAUGUUAUAUAUGUUUCCAAAUAAUGAGCUUGCUUGCAUGUUAGGAAUAACACUAUUUUGAAUAAUGUACAUGAGAAACUGUUACUAAUAACUUUCUCUUAAAAGUAAAUUUGAGAAUUGCUUUCAUUCAUAAAAAAUAAAGAUGUGUAUGAAGCAAAUCUUGCAUUCUGCUUUUCAGUGACAAUUUUUCAAAUUCUUUAGUGCUUUGGAAAACAAAUGCUCUUCAUUCCUUGAUAGUAGUGAUCUUAAAAUAAUAAAUAAAAAUAUCUGUAAUUCUGUAAUGUUGAUAACAAUUCAAUAAUUAUACCUGGCAAAAAUGUAAAGAUAGCAUUUUAUAAAUUAGUAAUUUUUCAUAGCUGGAAGCUGCUGCUUACAAAUCUUAUUGUAUCUUUCCAGGCUAUCAAUUGGAAACAAUCCAAACUUAGCAUGUCGGAUUGAAUUGUUUAUUUUGGAGAUAAAUUUGAAAUAAAAUAUUGCUGAAACAGUCUCAUUUUAUUCA